UCCCAGCAGUCCAAGUCGCAGCCACAAUUAUUGGGUCUAAAACAUCCGUAGCUUGCAUUGUAAGUCUCUUGUGAAAUCGGGCCUCUUAAGGGUCCGGCGCGCAAGAGAUACUGCUUUGCUAGAGACCGGGAGGCGUAAGAAGUACAGAUGGGGUAGCGGUAAAAUGUGUUGAUCCUAUCUGGACUCACAGUCGCGAAGGCGUCUUACGAGAACGGAUCUGACAGUGAGGGAUGAAGGCUAGGGGCGCAAAGUG
rnacentral:rRNA from 1 species